GGCAGCAGUGGGGAAUCUUCCGCAAUGGGCGCAAGCCUGACGGAGCAACGCCGCGUGAGUGAAGAAGGCCUUCGGGUUGUAAAACUCUGUCAUCAGGGAAGAAGAAAGUGACGGUACCUGAGGAGGAAGCCCCGGCUAACUACGUGCCAGCAGCCGCGGUAAAACGUAGGGGGCGAGCGUUGUCCGGAAUUACUGGGCGUAAGGGCGCGUAGGCGGUUAUCCAAGUCAGGGGUGAAAACCUUGGGCUCAACUCAGGGCCUGCCUCUGAAACUGGGUAACUUGAGGGCAGGAGAGGGGAGUGGAAUUCCCAGUGUAGCGGUGAAAUGCGUAGAUAUUGGGAGGAACACCAGUGGCGAAGGCGGCUCUCUGGCCUAACCCUGACGCUGAGGCGCGAAAGCGUGGGGAUCAAACAGGAUUAGAUACCCUGGUAGUCCACGCCGUAAACGAUGAGUACUAAGUGU
rnacentral:rRNA from 1 species